GUGGGGGGGAGGAGAAAAAAGGAAAACAAAGCACAAGAGACUCAACGAUAGAGAACAAACAGGGUUGAUGGAGGGAGGUGGGUGGGAGAUGGUCUGGGUGGGUGACAGGUAUUAAGAACGGCACUUGUGAUGAGCCCUGGGUGUUGUAUGUAAGUGGUGAGUCACUGAAUUCUACUUCUGAAAUCAAUAUUGCACUGCAUGUUAUCUAACUAAAAUUAAAAAAGAAAAAAAAAGACAAGGAUGCCUGCUCUCACCACUUGUACUUACCACUGUUCUGGCCGUAAACUACUAGGUCUCUUCUAUUCCUAGUUUUCUGAGAAUUUUUACCAUGAAUGGAUGGUGGAUUUUGUUAGAAGCUUUUUCCGCAUCUGUCGAGAUGAUCAGAUGAGGUUUUGUUCUUUUUUCUAACAGUAAGGUGUAUUACAUGAACUUGAAACCAAUCUUUUAUUCCUGGGAUAUUUCCGUAUGGUGUAUAAUCUUUUUUUUUACAUGUUUCUAGAUUAGAUUUACUGAUAAUUUUGUUGAGUGUUUUUACUUGUGUAUUCAUGAGGAAGGGAUAGUGGUAUGCAGUUUUGUUCGGUUGUCUUUAUUCAGCAUUGAUAUCAGGGUAAUAAUGACAUCAUGGAAUGAGUUGGUAACUGUUCCCUCCUAUUUUUGGAAGAGUUUGUUUGUAUUAUUUCUUCUUUAAAUAUUUGAUAGAAUUUACCAGUGAAGAUAUUUGGGCUUGGACUUUUCUUUGUGGGGAAAUUUAAUUCCUGUUCAAUUUCCUUGAUUCUGUCAUUCUAUUCAGAGUCUCUGGGUUUUUUGUUUGUUUGUUUGUUUGAGUCAGUUUUGGUAAUUUGUAUCUUGCUAGGAGUUUGUUCACUUUGUCUAGAUUGUCUAAUUGUUGACAUAAAGUUUUUUGUGGUACUUCUUAGUAGUUCUCAUUUCU